UACGGAGGGUGCGAGCGUUGUCCGGAAUCACUGGGCGUAAAGGGCGCGUAGGCGGCCUGAUAAGUAGGGGGUGAAAUCCUGCGGCUUAACCGCAGGGCUGCCUUCUAAACUGUCAGGCUUGAGCACAGUAGAGGCAGGUGGAAUUCCCGGUGUAGCGGUGGAAUGCGUAGAGAUCGGGAAGAACAUCAGUGGCGAAGUCGGCCUGCUGGGCUGUUGCUGACGCUGAGGCGCGACAGCGUGGGGAGCAAACAGG
rnacentral:rRNA from 1 species